GAUGAACGCUGGCGGCGUGCUUAACACAUGCAAGUCGAGCGAGAAGUUUUGAACAGAUUCUUCGGAUGAAAUUUAAAAUGGAAAGCGGCGGACGGGUGAGUAACGCGUAGGCAACCUGCCCCAUACAAAGGGAUAGCAUUUGGAAACGAAUAUUAAUACCUUAUGAAACUUAACUAGUGCAUGCUAGGUAGGUCAAAGAUUUAUCGGUAUGGGAUGGGCCUGCGUCUGAUUAGCUAGUUGGUGAGGUAACGGCUCACCAUGGCGACGAUCAGUAGCCGACCUGAGAGGGUGAACGGCCACAUUGGAACUGAGACACGGUCCAAACUCCUACGGGAGGCAGCAGUGGGGAAUAUUGCACAAUGGGGGAAACCCUGAUGCAGCAACGCCGCGUGAACGAUGAAGGCCUUUGGGUCGUAAAGUUCUGUUCUAGGUGAUGAAAACUGACAGUAACCUAGGAGAAAGCCCCGGCUAACUCCGUG
rnacentral:rRNA from 1 species